AUUGAACGCUGGCGGCAGGCCUAACACAUGCAAGUCGAGCGGAUGAAGAGAGCUUGCUCUCUGAUUUAGCGGCGGACGGGUGAGUAAUGCCUAGGAAUCUGCCUGGUAGUGGGGGAUAACGUUCCGAAAGGAACGCUAAUACCGCGUACGUCCUACGGGAGAAAGCAGGGGACCUUCGGGCCUUGCGCUAUCAGAUGAGCCUAGGUCGGAUUAGCUAGUUGGUGAGGUAAUGGCUCACCAGGGCGACGAUCCGUAACUGGUCUGAGAGGAUGAUCAGUCACACGGGAGCAGGGACACGGUCCAGACUCCUACGGGAGGCAGCAGUUGGGAAUAUUGGACAAUGGGCGAAAGCCUGAUCCAGCCAUGCCGCGUGUGUGAAGAAGGUCUUCGGAUUGUAAAGCACUUUAAGUUGGGAGGAAGGGCAGUAAGUUAAUACCUUGCUGUUUUGACGUUACCGACAGAAUAAGCACCGGCUAACUUCGUGCCAGCCGCCGCCGUAAGAC
rnacentral:rRNA from 1 species